UUGGUAGGUGGUCUUGUUUGUCUAAGGUGAAAUCCCAUGGCUUAACUGUGGAAGUGCCUUAGAAACGGCAAGACUAGAGUCCUAGAGGGGUUUGUGGAAUUCCCGGUGUAGCGGUGAAAUGCGUAGAGAUCGGGAGGAACACCAGCGGCGAAGGCGGCAAACUGGAUAGGAACUGACACUCAACAACGAAAGCGUGGGGAGCAAACA
rnacentral:rRNA from 1 species